GUGGGGAAUCUUGCGCAAUGGGCGAAAGCCUGACGCAGCCAUGCCGCGUGAAUGAUGAAGGUCUUAGGAUUGUAAAAUUCUUUCACCGGGGACGAUAAUGACGGUACCCGGAGAAGAAGCCCCGGCUAACUUCGUGCCAGCAGCCGCGGUAAUACGAAGGGGGCUAGCGUUGCCCGGAAUUACUGGGCGUAAAGGGCGCGUAGGCGGACAGUUUAGUCAGAGGUGAAAGCCCAGGGCUCAACCUUGGAAUUACCUUUGAUACUGGCUGUCUUGAGUACGGGAGAGGUGAGUGGAACUCCGAGUGUAGAGGUGAAAUUCGUAGAUAUUCGGAAGAACACCAGUGGCGAAGGCGACUCACUGGCCCGUUACUGACGCUGAGGCGCGAAAGCGUGGGGAGCAAACAGGAUUAGAUACCCUAGUAGUCC
rnacentral:rRNA from 1 species